GACGAACGCUGGCGGCGUGCUUAACACAUGCAAGUCGAACGGAAGGGCGCUGCUUUUGUUGGGUGCUCGAGUGGCGAACGGGGGAGUAACACGUGAGUAACCUGCCCUUGACUUUGGGAUAACUUCAGGAAACUGGGGCUAAUACCGGAUAGGAGCUCCUGCUGCAUGGUGGGGGUUGGAAAGUUUCGGCGGUUGGGGAUGGAUUCGCGGCUUAUCAGCUUGUUGGUGGGGUAGUGGCUUACCAAGGCUUUGACGGGUAGCCGGCCUGAGAGGGUGACCGGCCACAUUGGGACUGAGAUACGGACCAGACUCCUACGGGAGGCAGUAGUGGGGAAUAUUGCACAACGGGCGGAAGCCUGAUGCAGCAACGCCGCGUGCGGGAUGACGGCCUUCGGGUUGUAAACCGCUUUCGCCUGUGACGAAGCGUGAGUGACGGUAAUGGGUAAAGAAGCACCGGCUAACUACGUG
rnacentral:rRNA from 1 species